GCCAAUGUAGCUCAGUUGGUAGAGCAAUGCUUUCGUAAAGCAAAGGUCGUGGGUUCGAUUCCCGCCAUUGGCU
rnacentral:tRNA from 1 species